CCUACGGGUGGCAGCAGUAAGGAAUAUUGGACAAUGGGCGGAAGCCUGAUCCAGCCAUGCCGCGUGAAGGACGAAGGCGCUCAGCGUUGUAAACUUCUUUUGGAUGGGAACAAUAACCGAGACUUGUCUUGGCUUGAGGGUACCAUCAGAAUAAGCACCGGCUAACUCCGUGCCAGCAGCCGCGGUAAUACGGAGGGUGCAAGCGUUAUCCGGAAUCACUGGGUUUAAAGGGUGCGUAGGCGGCCCGAUAAGUCAGUCGUGAAAUCGCUGGGCUCAACCCAUGCAAUUGCGAUUGAUACUGUUGGACUUGAAUUAGGUUGAGGCUGGCGGAAUGCGACAUGUAGCGGUGAAAUGCUUAGAUAUGUCGCAGAACACCGAUUGCGAAGGCAGCCAGCUGGGCCUGUAUUGACGCUGAGGCACGAAAGCGUGGGGAGCAAACAGGAUUAGAUACCCUAGUAGUC
rnacentral:rRNA from 1 species